rnacentral:piRNA from 5 species
CUUUUGGCUAAGAUCAAGUGUAGUAUCUG